rnacentral:lncRNA from 8 species
GGCCUUGAAUUUGAAGAACGGCGAACAGAUUGAUUCCCACGUCUCGCUGAUGCUGCAACAUUACUACGAGAAGACAAUUUUGACUGACAACUGUGAGAAAAUUCGUUUGGGAUUACAACACCAAACACAUAAUGAUGAGAUACUUAGUAAACAGGAUGGAAAACUGAGAGAAGUGAAAACAUCCAUCUUCCUGUUCUGUCUAUUGCACACUUAGUCAUGAGAUCACAACGCGCACACACUUAUGGUGUCAACAUUAUGUUUUCAUAAAAACGGAUUUAUCAGUGUUCUCCUCUAUCACGCGAAUUAAUCUCGACAGCCGACAUCAUGGAGAACAAGGAAAACUGCCCCGCAGGGUUAUCGUUACACCAGCCAGACGAGAACAUUUGGCGGAUAGGGGGUCAGUCAGCCUCUCUCCCCUGUAACAUCGCAUAUGAUACCAAUAGGAAAAUUGAUGUCCUCUGGUUCGUCUUCAAGCAGGACGCUCACCACUCGGUCGAUCUGAUGACCCAGCAACACAAAUACAGCCUGGAGAGAAACAGCCUAAAUAUCAACUCACUCCAGGUCAAUGACAGCGGAGUGUACCACUGUGCUGCCGUGUUUAGAGACGUGGUAUGCAGCCGGGCACAGGAGAUAGGGCAGGGCACCACGCUGGUGGUGAGAGAGAGGGGCAUGCAGAUGGCCUGGCAUGUUUUGCUGUGCCUGCUGUUUGUCCUGUUGGUCUUGUACAGCCUGGCAAUACUGAUUCUGAUCAUUCGUAAGAAGACUGGGAAAGACAUUGCCGUUUGCAGAGGCACAGAGAAGAGUGACAUCCAGAAGAAUAAAGUUCAAGUACAGUUUGGUGCUGUUGUGCAAGAGCUGUACGGCAAGAGGAAGUUACGAAGUAACAAGAAAAACCCCAACCACAGUGGCCCUGCUCAAAACAAGGUUGAAAGCCCCCACUCCAACCAUCCAGAGGACAUUUACCAAAACCAGUGA